AGCAGCCGCGGUAAUUCCAGCUCCAAUAGCGUAUAUUAAAGUUGUUGCAGUUAAAAGCUCGUAGUUGAAUUUCGGGGUCAGUAGGUCGGUCGUGCCACUGGUAUGAACUGGUUUUACUGAUUCCUCCCUCUUGAAGAGCUGUAAUGCCAUUAAUUUGGUGUUGCAGGGAAUCAGGACUGUUACUUUGAAAAAAUUAGAGUGUUUAAAGCAGGCUUUAGCUUGAAUACAUUAGCAUGGAAUAAUGAAAUAGGACGUUUGAUCCUAUUUUGUUGGUUUCUAGGAUUGACGUAAUGAUUAAUAGGGAUAGUUGGGGGCAUUAGUAUUCAAUUGUCAGAGGUGAAAUUCUUGGAUUUAUUGAAGACUAACUACUGCGAAAGCAUUUGCCAAGGAUGUUUUCAUUAAUCAAGAACGAAAGUUAGGGGAUCGAAGACGAUCAGAUACCGUCGUAGUCUUAACCAUAAACUAUGCCGACUAGGGAUCGGAUGAUGUUAAUUUUUUAAUGACUCAUUCGGCGCCUUAC
rnacentral:rRNA from 1 species